CCUCCUUAUAUACGAAGUUACACCUUCGAAGUGUUCACACAAAUAAUUAAUUACGAAUAAUGAGCGAGAAAGCUGCAAGCUGUUGGCUGCAUUCGAGAGUUUGUAGCAUAAACGAUAGGCCUGUAGCUCAGCUGGUUAGAGCGCACCCCUGAUAAGGGUGAGGUCGGCAGUUCAAGUCUGCCCAGGCCUACCAAAUCUAAUUAACUCUGCGUUACUUUCCAUCUUGUUUAGAUAGUCUAAACGGCGAUGAAAAGUGCCUUGAUUUAAUCAGAUUGACCGUUUUAAUGACGUGACUUCAGUAUGGGGCUAUAGCUCAGCUGGGAGAGCGCUUGAUUUGCAUUCAAGAGGUCCGCGGUUCGAUCCCGCGUAGCUCCACCAUACUGACACUCAGUUUCUCGAUUCAAAACCCUAAACCAUACACAUUAUAGAUAGUGUGCAUCGUUUAGAGUUUUUUAUAAACUCAUGCUCUUUAACAAUUUGGAAAGCUGAUAAAAUAAGGUAAACAUUAUUGUUUAUUUGAUUGUUAUUCAACAAUUUAAAAAAAUAAUUUUAAUUAUCACUGUAAGAGAAAACUCAAGCGUUAUUUUUGUCAGGUUCUUGGUCUUAUACAACCAGUACCCAUAAUAUGACCCUUAUAUACCACUGAUGAUGCCGAGCCUUUAAGGUGGUAUGGUUAAGUGAAAAACCUUUACCGGGGAAGCCUUGGCAAAGGGGAAUUUCC
rnacentral:misc_RNA from 1 species